AAAAAAGGGAUAACCAAAAGCCUCCCAUUUUCAAAGAGGCUUUUAUAUCUACAAAUUCCAUAAUUCUUUCAAACCUCUCUUCUCACAUUUUCAACCCCCCCAACAACAAAGAACACACCAGAAGGGCUAAUAAUGAAACCAACCAGCACAUGCUUUUCCUUCAUUAUUAGUUUAGAAAAAUUAUUUCUUCCCUUAAACAGUUGGGUUGCUCCUGAAUGACCCAAGAGCCUU
rnacentral:misc_RNA from 1 species